AAUGCAAGUGACGAUAAAACAGACAGGGACAUCAGAACUCUCUUGAGAGUAUGAUGAUUUGUCGAUGGGAAUCUCUCUGAUGCAUA
rnacentral:snoRNA from 1 species